rnacentral:rRNA from 1 species
GGAGGCAGCAGUGGGGAAUAUUGCGCAAUGGGGGAAACCCUGAUGCAGCAACGCCGCGUGAGUGAUGACGGUCUUCGGAUUGUAAAGCUCUGUCUUUGGGGACGAUAAUGACGGUACCCAAGGAGAAAGCCACGGCUAACUACGUGCCAGCAGCCGCGGUAAU